GGGGGUGGGGGGCCUGGGGAUGUGGCUCAAGUGGUAGCGCGCCCGCCUAGCAUGCGUGAGGCACUGGGUUCAAUUCUUAGCACCACAUAAAAAUUAAAAAAUAAAGAUAUUGUGUCCACCUAAAACUAAAAAAAUAAAUAUUAAAAAAAAAGAAUUGGGAACUGUGGCAAAACAGUGAGUGUGUAAAAUAGAAAUAGUGAGCACAAAAGGAAAAUCUGUAUAGUGCCCUAGGGCUGAGGCCAAAUAGGUAAGGAAGGAUAAACCUGGAUAAACUUGGAAGGGGUUCAGACCUUCAAGAACGAGUGGUGUGCUUCAGCCACCUGGUAGCAGAGCCGUUUCCUUGUUUGGCCGGGCUGAAUCUGACCUGGAGUUUCUGAGCAAACAACAGACCACCCUCUGGAACGGAGGGAGGGAGGCAGGCAAAGAUUUUUGUUUUACCUUUAGUUGGUGGCUCUUUCCAGAAAUUUGGACAUUUUAUCUAAGUUUUCAAAUUUGUAGUCAUAAAUUCAUUCAUGAUAUUUUCUUAUUAUUUUCACAUCUAUAGAUUCUUUAGUAAUGCCAGAUUCUUUAUAUGGGUAAAUCUCACUCUAUGUUUUUCUUUUUCCUGUUCAGACUAAGAAUUUUUCAAUUUGGUUGGUCACUUCAAAUAGCCAUCUUUUUGUUCUAAUCCAUCAAAUACAUCUUCUACUCAAUCACUGAGCUUUCUUUACUUGGAAAAUAUAUCAACUAAUAAGAGGGAUGGCUUUUUGUAUCAAAUAAAUUAUUGCUUUGUUUUCUUUCUCUCACUCCCAGGCCUCUAUUGUCUCACAUCAAAGCAGGAAAAAGAAAAAAAAAAAAAAAGUUACACAAUAAUAUGAUGACAUCACUUUGUGCAAAAGCCCAGGAAUAGUCUUAUUUUAAUCAAAAGAACAUUACACAGCUAUUUGCUAGUUUGUAAUAGACUUUACUGGAUGCUUCCUGCUAGUGGCCUUAGAAAACAACAUCAUCUAAUAUAAAAAGUUUAAUACUAGAUUCCAUGUGGCCUUGGGCAAAUCACAGGGCUUUGUCAUUAUUUUUUCUUAUUUAUAAAGUAAGAUAAUAAUAGCUGUACUACUUGCCUCACAGGAUUAUAACAUAGAGGGUCAAUAAGAUAUUACAUAUGAAAAUGUUCAUAAACUAUAUAUCUCCAUUUGAAGCCAAGAAAUUGCAGUUGUGAUCCAUUAAAAAAGUUAUCUUUAGGAAAAAAUGUACACAGAAAUUACAUUGGAUUUCUGUUCUCAGGUACAAACAAUGAGUCAAACUAUUAGGGAAACCUGAUUUUAAAACCUCUCUGCUACUUAUGAGCCCUGUGGCACAUUUAAUUUAACUUUCAAGUUUCCUUACAUGUAAAAGGAAGUUAAGGACACCUUCCCUUCUGAAAUGUCAAAAGGAGUGAAUGAAAUAUUUGUGGAAGUACCUAGCACAGCACUGGAAGUUUCUGGAAGUAACAAUGGGGGGUCAAGACUCUGGGGGAGACUAUGCUUCCACACCCUAUUCUCCCUCUGGGCAUAGCUCCUCCAAGCCUGGGAGGAAGCAUUGUUACAUUCUUUCAUUUGAUUUUCAUAGUAUCCCUAUGGGAUCCACUAAGCAGGUGUUACUAUGCUCAUUUUACAUACGAGAAAACUAAGAAUACUGGCUUUGAUUGUGCUAUGUACUAAAACCAAUAAACACUGUCUGAUACCCAAGAAGAGAACCAUUGGAUGUUUAUUUCUCUUUGCAAAGAACAUCUUUGGCAGUGUCUGCUAAAGCUGAGCAUACCCAUACUUAUGACCCAGAAAUUCCAUUCUUAAGAUUAUAUCAAACAGAAGUGAAUAUAGAUGUUCACCAAAAGACAAUGGAAUAGAAUGUUCAAAGCAGUAGUAUUUGCAGUGCUUCCAAACUGGAAAUUACUCAAAUAUUCACCAACAGGACAAUGGAUAAAUAAAUUGUGCUGUGCUCACAAAAUCAAAUGCUAUACAGCACCAAGGAUGAAUAAAUGACUGCUGAACAAUGCUGCCCUUUAAUAUUAAAUGAAAGAAACAAGACACAACAGUCUAGAUAUGUAGAAAUGUAUGAAGAUGCAUGUAGAAACAUAUAGAUGUCAAUGUGUGUGUAGUAGAUAUGAUGAUUCCAUUUAUAUAAAGUUUUGUUUUUCAUAAACAGCAAAUACUUAUCUUUGGCAACAUAAGUUGGGAUAGUAGUUACCCUUGGGUAGGACAAAGAGUGUGACUGGAGAGGGCCAUGAGGAAAGGUUAUGGGCUUCUAGUUAAUUACUUAUUUAUAUGGAUGGUAGCGAUAGAGAUAUGAUCCCAUCAUGAAAUUCAUCAUUAUUUGUCUGCUUUUGUGUGUGUGUGUGUGUGUAUGUGUGUUAUACUUAAAAAAAAAAAAGUUAAUUUGCCUUAGCCAAAACAGAAAUCCAUUAUCUCAGCUAGGGUUUUCCACUGGCUUCCCAUGGUGCUCACAAAAAAUCCAAAGUCCUCACUGUGGCCUGCAUGGUUACACAUCAUCUGACCCCUGGCGAUUUCCUUUGUAUCACUUCCUCCACUGUUAUUCCCCUUGCUUACUCACCACCAGCCAUGUGACCUUCUUGCUGAUCUGCAAACACAAUAAAAUGCCUUUCUACCCCAAGGCUUUGUACUUGCUAUUCCCUCUGCCUGGAAUGUUCUUCCCUCAGCUGGCUGAAUUGCUGGUCUCUCAUCAUACAGGUACCAGCUCCAAUGUCACUUCUUCAAAAAAUCCUUCACUCAGCACUCCAUCUGAAAUAGAUUUCCCAGGCAUGCUUAAACAUAUAACACCAAUUUUUCUUCCUACCAUCUGCAACUAGCUGAAAUUAUUUAUAUAUUUAUUUAUUUCUAGUUUAUCGUUUAUCUUCCUCGAGAGAACAUAAGGGGAUCAUGUCUGCCAUGUUCAUCAUUGUGUGUUUAGUGCCUAAACACACUUACUAGCUUGUAGCACAUGCUCAUAUAAAUGUUAGUAUUUAAUGAAUUAAUUAAGAUCUUUGGGUGAACUGCCCAGUAGCUACUAUAGCUGGCAUCUCUCUCACAAAGGGAGAUAUAUGAGAAGUUAUAAGUCAUUGAAAAGUGCUGGGAGCCAUUAGCCAAGUAGGUAUGACAAUUUCCUUGCCAGCGUACCCCAUGUUGCUGACAUGUUGCAGUGACAUUGAAUGUACUUAACCUUGCUCAAGGACCAAGGCAGAUUAGGGUGUUCCUGGUUUUAAGAUAAUCUUGUUUAGGGCGUUCCCAGUUUAGGUUCCAGGUUUAAGGUUUAAGAUUAUUCCUGCUGGGAAUAGGGCGUAUCCUGCUGCCUGAGUUCCCCUUGAGUUCUCACGGGAUUCAGACAGUAUAUUUUGGAGAUAGAAGCCCAGUGGAGGUGAAUUUGGGAGAGAAGGUGGAUUUGGGAAGAGAACGUGGAUUGCUAUGUGGUGGCUCGUGAUCAUGUGCCCAGCCAGACUGUGGCAUUUGUGCCCAGCCAGACUGCGGCAGAAAAGAAACCUUUGUUAAUACAGCCUACCAUGCCUAUCUCAGCUUGACGAGGGGCAAGCUCAAAUCUUUCCCCAAUGCUUCCAUGAGCUUUGACCAAUAAGGACGUACUCUAUGAAAUAUGCUUUAGAUAAAACAUCAUAUCCUAAGAUGGGGAAAAAACAACUGGAACUUAACUUCUAUCCCCUAUCCCCAGGUUCUCCAGAGAGAAACAAAAUAUGAUCAGCAGGCAGAAGAGCUCCUCUCUCCAAUCCUGUGCACCUAAGAGAAUGUUGACAUAUUGUCAGCUCAUCUGCAGAACAAGUAGUGAAUGCAGAGAAAACCAUUAUAUAAAGUAGUUCAAUAAACAGCAGAUGUCUCUAUUUGUGUGUUUGAGAUCUUUCUUUCUCACAAUUCCACGUUAGGUACAACAACUAUGACCGAGCUGUCAUCAAUACUGUGCCUUAUGAUGUCGUUCAUCGUUGGUAUACAGCACACCGGACUCUAACAAUUGAGUUGAGGAGACCUGAGAAUGAGCUUUGGGUCAAACUAAAGCCUGGGAGGGUCCUAUUUAUAGACAACUGGAGAGUCCUACAUGGCAGGGAAUCCUUCACUGGCUAUCGCCAACUGUGUGGCUGCUACUUAACAAGAGAUGAUGUCUUAAAUACUGCUCGUCUCUUGGGGCUCCAGGCUUAAAUUUGACAGCAUUGGGAUUAAGAACAUAUCUGCCACCUUGGCGACCAGAAUUUCAUAUCAGCAGAAUAAUAUUGUGUGAAAAUCUACUUCAUAUUGUCUCUCUAUCCCAUCUCAUGAAACAGAAGUGGCCCCUUUCUCUAGCAUGGGAACAUGUUACAGAGAGGGAGGGCUUCUGUCAACCAUCUAGUGGGGUAGAUCUUUCCCCCAAGCUACAACAUGAGCUCACAUUUUCUAAACUUUUUUAGAUAAUUUUGGUAACUAUACUUCAGAAACAUAGAGAAUUCCUUUGAUUCUCCAUAUUGAAAUCAAAGCAAUACUGAGUAGGUAAAUUUUCCUUCUGACUAGGACAGUUAGAAUGAAAUCCAUUCUAGAAAUAACACUGAUAAAUCAACAAUUCACCUAAAUUUUGGUCUUAAUAUCCACAAGGGAGAACAUGUGGUACUUGUUUUUCUAUCUGAUGCACUUCCCUUAACAUAAUGUCCUCUAAUCCCAUCUAUUUUAUACAAAUGAUAGGAUUCUUUUAUGACUGGAUAGUAUUCCAUUACACAUAUGUAUGACAUUUCCUUUAUCCAUUCACCUGUUCAUGGGCAUCUAGGUUGAUUCCAUAUCUUGGCUAUUGUGAAUAAUGCAGCAAUAAACAAGACCAUGCUAGGA